UACAGAGGUCUCAAGCGUUGUUCGGAUUCAUUGGGCGUAAAGGGCGCGUAGGCGGCGCGGUAAGUCGGGUGUGAAAUCUUGGAGCUUAACUCCGAAACUGCAUUCGAUACUGGCGUGCUUGAGGACUGGAGAGGAGACUGGAAUUUACGGUGUAGCGGUGAAAUGCGUAGAUAUCGUAAGGAAGACCAGUGGCGAAGGCGGGUCUCUGGACAGUUCCUGACGCUGAGGCACGAAGGCCAGGGGAGCAAACGGG
rnacentral:rRNA from 1 species